rfam:Hordeum vulgare subsp. vulgare, WGS project CAJW01000000 data, contig: morex_contig_1565872
AAAAUACUCCCUCCGUCUCAAAAAAUUUGUCGUAGAUUUGUUUAGAUAUAAAUGUAUCUAGUCAAGUUUUAGUAUUUAGAUACAUCAGUUUGUAGAAAAAGCUAACACAAGAAUUUUAGGACGGAGGGAGUAUAAG